rnacentral:lncRNA from 1 species
CAAAAACGAUUCCUGCCUUGAGGAACUCAUGAGCUAAUGGGGGAGACAACGAGCAAACAAAUAUGUACAAAAAUAUAUGUACAUAGGACAAAUAGGAAAUAAUCAGCAGAGAAAAAGCACUGUAAUUAAGAGAAUGCUCCCCGAGUGGCCCUCUAUUGCAAAUCCCAUCAUUCUCAGUGCUCUAAUUAAGUGAUCAGAUUGGAUAGAGCAUGAAUUGACAAGGCCCACUAAGGUGUCGGCUUUAUGUCAGGUAUGAUAUUAUCAGCACCCUGGAGACAGAACAAGGAACAAUACAUCAAAUUCAAAAGAAGCAGUUUUAUAAUAGAAGGAGGAGAAAAAGGCAGAAAGAGGUCACAGUGGAAAGAGCAAGGAGUCUGGAGCUGAUCAUGCACACCAAUGAUCUCAGAAGAAGGAAAACUACAGAGAACCCAAAGGGAAGUGGGGAGAUAUAUUAAGGGUGUAAGCAAGCUGCAGCACUUUGCCAAUGACAGCUCAUAUAUAGGAAAAGGAGUAAAAAGGUAUCAUUGAAGAUAUGUCUGAUUGAAAAAGGACAAACACUAAUCUGGGGACAAGAAUAGAAGAUAAUAGAUGGACAACCUGAGGGGCGUGCUGGUUCCCCCAAGAUGCGGAAAAUGCAGGAGGAAGCCGGCUAGAGCUUUGAGUAGCCUGAUGGAGGAUUUGUGGUUAAACAAGGACAGAAAUGGCACAGGAUGAGGUGUAGGAGGUGUGUGAUUGACAUCUCUAGA